GAUGAACGCUAGCGGCAGGCUUAAUACAUGCAAGUCGAGGGGCAGCAGGACUGUAGCAAUACAGUUGCUGGCGACCGGCAAACGGGUGCGGAACACGUACGCAACCUACCCAAAACUGGGGGAUAGCCCGUGGAAACCCGGAUUAAUACCUCGUAACCUUUUUAAGUGGCAUCACUUGAUAAGUAUAGCUCCGGCGGUUUUGGAUGGGCGUGCGCCUGAUUAGGUAGUUGGUGCGGGUAACGGCCCACCAAGACUGCUAUCAGUAACUGGUGUGAGAGCACGACCAGUCACACGGGCACUGCGGCAAAGGCCCGACUCCUAAGGGAGGCAGCAGUAAGAAAUAUUGGUCACGGGACGCAAGUCUGAACCAGCCAUGCCGCGUGAAGGAUGAAAGUCCUCUGGAUUGUAAACUUCUUUUAUGGGGGACGAAACCCGGAUAUUCUUAGCCGAUUGACGGUACCUCAGGAAUAAGCACCGGCUAACUCCGUG
rnacentral:rRNA from 1 species